rnacentral:misc_RNA from 1 species
UAUUGAGUUGUUUACACCUAGAAGGGUUGUUGCUGGCCUCUUGGGGCAAUGUGCACACCUCUGGGUGAUUCAUCCACACACACCUGUGAACCUGUUUGUGGGAUGCCUCUUCGGGGGUUACCUCCCAUGUUUAUAUUGCACACGCACUUUUUAGUAUGUCCCUAGAGUGUUAAAGCUGCUGAGAAGGCAGUUUUGAAUAUGUAUAUACAACUUUCAACAACGGAUCUCUUGGCUCUCGCAUCGAUGAAGAACGCAGCGAAAUGCGAUAAGUAAUGUGAAUUGCAGAUUUUCAGUGAAUCAUCGAAUCUUUGAACGCACCUUGCGCUCCUUGGUAUUCCAAUGAGCAUGCCUGUUUGAGUGUCAUUAAAUUCUUCUCAACUCUGGAUUGGGUUUGUUGUCUGUUCUGGAGUUUGGACUUGGAGUGUGCUGGUUCCCCUUUGCUUGGGCAUUGGGUCAGCUCCUCUUGAAAGCAUCGAGCAGAUGUGAGUUUAUUAUGCCUGCUGGCCUCAGCGUGAUAAGCAUGUUGCGUUGUUGUUGGGAAUGGCAAGUAGGAUCUGCUUUAUACGGUUGGUCGUCUUCUGGAUGGGAAGCGUGAUCACAACCCCCCCCCUCUCUUUGAAACUUG